GGAGAGGUGCCGGAGUGGUCGAACGGGACGGACUCGAAAUCCGUUGACCGCGCAAGCGGUCCGUGGGUUCGAAUCCCACCCUCUCCGCCA
rnacentral:tRNA from 1 species